UUGUUGGCUUUGUAUCCAUGGUGAAGCCAAAGCGAGGCCGUUCGCCGCCUUCCGGUUCUGGCUCGGGUUCGUUGUCCCGGUCCCGCUCGAAGUCACAGUCACGCUCUUACUCUGGUUUAGAUUCUCGCUCCAGCUCACGCUCCUGGUCUUUGUCCUCCCGAUCUCGUUCCAAAUCGUUCUCUUCAUCCUCCUCCCCUUCUCGCAGCCUCAGCUCCGUUAGCCGCAGCCCUACUGCU
rnacentral:lncRNA from 1 species